UACGGGGGGAGCAAGCGUUGUUCGGAUUUACUGGGCGUAAAGGGCGCGUAGGCGGCCACCGCAAGUCGGUUGUGAAAUCUCUGGGCUUAACCCAGAAAGGUCAACCGAUACUGCGGGGCUAGAGUGCAGAAGGGGCAACUGGAGUUCUCGGUGUAGCGGUGAAAUGCGUAGAUAUCGAGAGGAACACCUGCGGCGAAGGCGGGUUGCUGGGCUGACACUGACGCUGAAGCGCGAAAGCUAGGGGAGCGAACGGG
rnacentral:rRNA from 1 species